rnacentral:ncRNA from 1 species
UCUUAUUGAGAGAGGUGGAGGGAAAUGGCCCUUUGAAACCUCGGCAGCGGGCUCUUACUUGAGUACUGUGCCAAAUCCAUCAAGCAGUUUUUCUGUUUGAAAGAUAAGA